rnacentral:rRNA from 1 species
GCAGCCGCCACGGGAAUACAGAGGGUGCGAGCGUUAAUCGGAUUUACUGGGCGUAAAGCGUGCGUAGGCGGCUUCUUAAGUCGGAUGUGAAAUCCCUGAGCUUAACUUAGGAAUUGCAUUCGAUACUGGGAAGCUAGAGUAUGGGAGAGGAUGGUAGAAUUCCAGGUGUAGCGGUGAAAUGCGUAGAGAUCUGGAGGAAUACCGAUGGCGAAGGCAGCCAUCUGGCCUAAUACUGACGCUGAGGUACGAAAGCAUGGGGAGCAAACAGGAUUAGAUACCCCAGUAGUCCCUGUCUCUUAUAA